UGCCAAGUGAUCUGAGUUUUAGGAGC
rnacentral:piRNA from 1 species